GGGUCUUUAGCUCAGUUGGUUAGAGUACCGCACUCAUAAUGCGGUGGCCAGUGGUUCAAGUCCAUUAAGGCCCACAA
rnacentral:tRNA from 1 species